GACAUCCCAGCUAAAUUCAAAUUUCAGAUAAAGAAAGAAUAAGUUUUCUAGUAUGGGUGCUUCCCAUGCAAUAUUUGGGACAUACUUAUACUAAAAAUUCAUUUGUUGUUUAUCUGAAAUUCACAUUUAACUGGGCAUCCUGUA
rnacentral:miRNA from 1 species